GGCCUCCUGUCCGUCGGGACAGACCCUGAAGGCUUGGAGCUUGCUAACGCUACGCGGCGCAACUUAGCAGCAAGGUAAUGAAUGGGGCUCUGCGCGUCGGGCAGAAGCGGAACCAAGGCGCACAGCCAUCUUGGGCCCGUCCCGGCAAUCCUCGCGGCGAGUGCGUCCCGUGACGUCAUGCCGGCGGAGGCGAGACCACGCCAGACCCGCCGACUUGACAGGCGGAUGCGUCGUCUUUAUUCCCACGUCUGGAUGUAGGCUUGCCGGGCCUCCGUUUAAGACGCUCCGCCCCGCCGAUGUGGCCCCGCCUUUUCCCGGCAAAAGCAAGUCCCUCCUCUUGAAGAGGGCCAAGCAAAAGGACACGGUGGGCGGGGCGGGCUGCUAGGUGAGGGGCGGAGCUGAGCCGAGAGUGGGCUUUAAGGGCCGCCGCCUGGCACCAGCGAUAGGAAAGAGGUGAGGAGGUGGGCAGAAGAGCUGGGGGGAGACCCGGAAGGGAGAAAAGGUUGGAAAGGGGAAAGACAGCGAAGAAAUUUACCUGCACAAAGCCACCCUACACCUGGAGUCACCGGGAAGGCGGUUAUGGAGCUCGGAACGCAAAACCCAAAGAGGCUCUCUCUUCCACAAGCCAGGCGGUGCCCUGAGCUUCAGUCUCGAGCGCAGCUUGCGGGGAGCUCCCCGCAAUGAGAAGGGAACCAGAGUGACCCUUAUUCAGGACCAAAGAACCCUUAGGAUCCGUGGACCCCCGAGGCACCAGACGUGCCUGCGGCAGAGGAGGCUGAGAAAGGGUUUCAGACAGGCAGCAGCAGUUGUUGCCCAAAGAAAGGCUGUGCUUCAUACAACUUUGGUCAGGCACUCUACAGUGAGACAUGGACCCUGGGAACUGCUGUGGCAAUCAGCCAGGACCUAUAAGGGGUCUCAUUGCCACCAGCGCUGAGGUCCUUGUUUCCAUCUCCCAAAGCUCACCUGAACUACAAAGGACCCCAAGCAGCCACAAAAGGAUACUCCAACUUACUGCCAAAUCUCUUAUGUUCCUCCUUGCAAAUACCUGUUUGCUAGACAGCCUCUGGAUGUGUUUGGGCCUUGGUAACAAAGAUGUGGAUGAGAGGCCACUGGAAGCAGCUUGAGGAUGGCCUCACAGGGGAUUCUUGGAAGAACAAUUCCAGUUGUUCUUAUCUGUCCUGCCUUAUCUUCUCCUUAAACUGAGAGAGAUCUAGAAAGGCCUAUGUGGAGUUCAGAGAGUGGCCUUUGUAUCUAAGGAGGCCUAGUAUAUCCAAUGUUCAUUCCAACUUGUAUCACCUCAGGGUUAUUUAUUGAAUACGUUACCCUAAAUCUGAGUUGUGUCAGGAUUGAACUGAAGUACAGAAUACCAAGCUGAUAUUAGAGAAUCGGCUGGCAUGGGAGAAUCCCUAUACAUGUAGCAUCAGAAGUGAGGCACUGAGACUGGCAUGGCAUUAGAAAGAAAGCAGUUUGUUUUUCUAGUUUCAUGGCUAGCUCUUGUGUUUUUCCUGGUUCAAAACCAUUCACUUCUAUACAUAUAAACAAGCAUAGUUCUGAAGUAACUUGUCUUUCAACAAAGAGUUGUAUCUGAUAGUUUCUGAAAAACACUUCCCUUCACCUCUAAGUCAAAGGUUACCUCAACCCUGUCUUGCCUCUUUAUCCUCAAAGUGGUGCUUUUUUUGAGAAAAAUAAAAACCAAAGAAACCAGA